CCUACGGGAGGCAGCAGUGGGGAAUAUUGCACAAUGGGGGAAACCCUGAUGCAGCGACGCCGCGUGAGUGAAGAAGUAAUUCGUUAUGUAAAGCUCUAUCAGCAGGGAAGAAAAUGACGGUACCUGAGUAAGAAGCCCCGGCUAACUACGUGCCAGCAGCAGCGGUAAUACGUAGGGGGCAAGCGUUAUCCCGAUUUACCGGGUGUAAAGGGAGCGUAGACGGGAGUGCAAGUCUGGAGGGAAAGGUGGGGGCGCAACCCCCGGACCGCCCUUGAAACUGGAAGGCUGGAGUUGCAGAGAGGGAAGUUGAAUUCCCAGUGUAGCGGUGAAAUUCGUAGAUAUUGAGGAGAACCACGAGUGCGAAGGCCGCCUUCCGGCCCUAAACCGAAGUUGAGGCUUGAAAGCGUUGGGAACCAACAAGAAU
rnacentral:rRNA from 1 species